AUCGCUUCUCGGCCUUUUGGCUAAGAUCAAGUGUA
rnacentral:snRNA from 1 species